GACGAACGCUGGCGGCGUGCCUAAUACAUGCAAGUCGAACGGAAAGGCUCUGCUUUUGCGGGGUGCUCGAGUGGCGAACGGGUGAGUAACACGUGAGUAACCUGACCUUGACUUUGGGAUAACGUCAGGAAACUGGGGGUAAUACCGGAUAGGAGCUCCUGCUGCAAGGUGGGGGUUGGAAAGUUUCGGCGGUUGGGGAUGGACUCGCGGCCUAUCAGCUUGUCGGUGGGGUAGUGGCUUACCAAGGCUUCGACGGGUAGCCGGCCUGAGAGGGUGACCGGCCACAUUGGGACUGAGGUGCGGCCCAGACUGCUACGGGAGGCAGCAGUGGAGAAUAGUGCACAAUAGGCGGAAGCCUGAUACAGCGACGCCGCGUGCGGGAUGACGGCCUUCGGGUUAUAAACCGCUUUCGCCUGUGACGAAGCGUGAGUGACGGUAAUGGAUAAAAAAGCACCGGCUAACUACGUG
rnacentral:rRNA from 1 species